GUGAGUAACACGUGGGUAACCUGCCCCUCGCAGAGGGACAACCGGGGGAAACCCCGGCUAAUACCUCGUACGCUUGCCGGGCCGCAUGGUACUGGCAAGGAAAGGUAGCUUCGGCCAUCCGGCGAGGGAUGGGCCCGCGGUCCAUUAGCUAGUUGGUGGGGUAACGGCCUACCAAGGCGACGAUGGAUAGCUGGUCUGAGAGGAUGAUCAGCCACACUGGGACUGAGACACGGCCCAGACUCCUACGGGAGGCAGCAGUCGGGAAUCUUGCGCAAUGGGCGAAAGCCUGACGCAGCAACACCGUGUGGGCGACGAAGGCCUUCGGGUCGUAAAGCCCUGUUGUUGGGGACGAAGGACGAAGGGUUAAUAGCCCCUAGUCUGACGGUACCCUUCGAGGAAGCCCCGGCUAACUACGUGCCAGCCGCCGCGG
rnacentral:rRNA from 1 species